rnacentral:snRNA from 1 species
UAAAUAACCUGGCAGAGGAGAUAUCAUGAUCAUGAAGGUGGUUUUCCCAGGGCGAGGCUUAUCCAUUGCAUUCCAGAUGUGCUGACCCCUGCGAUUUCCCCAAAUGUGGGAAACACCGCUGCAUGAUUUGUGGUAGUGGGGGACUGCGUUUGUGCUUUCCUCUG